rnacentral:rRNA from 1 species
GACGAACGCUGGCGGCGUGCUUAACACAUGCAAGUCGAACGGAAAGGCCCUGCUUUUGUGGGGUGCUCGAGUGGCGAACGGGUGAGUAACACGUGAGUAACCUGCCCUUGACUUUGGGAUAACUUCAGGAAACUGGGGCUAAUACCGGAUAGGAGCUCCUGCUGCAUGGUGGGGGUUGGAAAGUUUCGGCGGUUGGGGAUGGACUCGCGGCUUAUCAGCUUGUUGGUGGGGUAGUGGCUUACCAAGGCUUUGACGGGUAGCCGGCCUGAGAGGGUGACCGGCCACAUUGGGACUGAGAUACGGCCCAGACUCCUACGGGAGGCAGCAGUGGGGAAUAUUGCACAAUGGGCGGAAGCCUGAUGCAGCAACGCCGCGUGCGGGAUGACGGCCUUCGGGUUGUAAACCGCUUUCGCCUGUGACGAAGCGUGAGUGACGGUAAUGGGUAAAGAAGCACCGGCUAACUACGUGCCAGCAGCCGCGGUGAUACGUAGGGUGCGAGUGUUGUCCGGAUUUAUUGGGCGUAAAGGGCUCGUAGGUGGUUGAUCGCGUCGGAAGUGUAAUCUUGGGGCUUAACCCUGAGCGUGCUUUCGAUACGGGUUGACUUGAGGAAGGUAGGGGAGAAUGGAAUUCCUGGUGGAGCGGUGGAAUGCGCAGAUAUCAGGAGGAACACCAGUGGCGAAGGCGGUUCUCUGGGCCUUUCCUGACGCUGAGGAGCGAAAGCGUGGGGAGCGAACAGGCUUAGAUACCCUGGUAGUCCACGCUGUAAACGGUGGGUACUAGGUGUGGGGUCCAUUCCACGGGUUCCGUGCCGUAGCUAACGCUUUAAGUACCCCGCCUGGGGAGUACGGCCGCAAGGCUAAAACUCAAAGGAAUUGACGGGGCCCCGCACAAGCGGCGGAGCAUGCGGAUUAAUUCGAUGCAACGCGUAGAACCUUACCUGGGUUUGACAUGGAUCGGGAGUGCUCAGAGAUGGGUGUGCCUCUUUUGGGGUCGGUUCACAGGUGGUGCAUGGCUGUCGUCAGCUCGUGUCGUGAGAUGUUGGGUUAAGUCCCGCAACGAGCGCAACCCUUGUUCACUGUUGCCAGCACGUUAUGGUGGGGACUCAGUGGAGACCGCCGGGGUCAACUCGGAGGAAGGUGGGGAUGGCGUCAAGUCAUCAUGCCCCUUAUGUCCAGGGCUUCACGCAUGCUACAAUGGCUGGUACAGAGAGUGGCGAGCCUGUGAGGGUGAGCGAAUCUCGGAAAGCCGGUCUCAGUUCGGAUUGGGGUCUGCAACUCGACCUCAUGAAGUCGGAGUCGCUAGUAAUCGCAGAUCAGCAACGCUGCGGUGAAUACGUUCCCGGG